rnacentral:rRNA from 1 species
CCUACGGGAGGCAGCAGUGAGGAAUCUUGGUCAAUGGACGAGAGUUUGAACCAGCCAAGUAGCGUGAAGGAUGAAUGCCCUAUGGGUUGUAAACUUCUUUUAUAAAGGAAUAAAACGAGGCACGUGUGCCUUUUUGCAUGUACUUUAUGAAUAAGGAUCGGCUAACUCCGUGCCAGCAGCCGCGGUAAUACGGAGGAUCCGAGCGUUAUCCGGAUUUAUUGGGUUUAAAGGGAGCGUAGGUGGGUUGUUAAGUCAGUUGUGAAAGUUUGCGGCUCAACCGUAAAAUUGCAAUUGAUACUGGCAGUCUUGAGUACAGUUGAGGUAAGCGGAAUUCGAGGUGUAGCGGUGAAAUGCUUAGAUAUCACGAAGAACCCCGAUUGCGAAGGCAGCUUACUAGACUGUGACUGACAUUGAGGCUCGAAAGUGUGGGGAUCAAACAGGAUUAGAUACCCUUGUAGUC